UUCCCUACGGGGCGCAGCAGUGAGGAAUAUUGGUCAAUGGGCGAUAGCCUGAACCAGCCAAGUCGCGUGAGGGAAGACGGCCCUAUGGGCUGUAAACCUCUUUUGUCGGGGAGCAAAGUCGCUACGUGUAGUGAUUUGAGAGUACCCGAAGAAAAAGCAUCGGCUAACUCCGUGCCAGCAGCCGCGGUAAUACGGAGGAUGCGAGCGUUAUCCGGAUUUAUUGGGUUUAAAGGGUGCGUAGGCGGGAGAUCAAGUCAGCGGUAAAAAUGCGGGGCCCAACCCCGUCGAGCCGUUGAAACUGGUUU
rnacentral:rRNA from 1 species